rnacentral:rRNA from 1 species
CCCUUAGAUGUCCGGGGCUGCACGCGCGCUACACUGAAGGAAUCAGCGUGCUAAAACCAUUGUCGAAAGGCAUUGGUAAACCCAUUAAAAUCCUACGUGAUUGGGAUCGGGAAUUGCAAUUAUUUCCCUUGAACGAGGAAUUCCCAGUAAGUGUGGGUCAUAAGCUCGCGUUGAUUACGUCCCUGCCCUUUGUACAUACCGCCCGUCGUUGCCCGGGACUGAGCCGUUUCGAGAAAAGCGGGGACUGCUGCUGUCGGGGCUUUCGGGCCUUGGCUUCGGUGGAAACCGCUUUAAUCGCAGUGGCUUGAACCGGGCAAAAGUCGUAACA